GGCCAGGCUAGGGAAGACAAACACUGGCAGGACAGAAACGGAGUUGUCUCAACUUGUAUUAUUCAGUGUGAAAGUCGUUGCUUCGACUGCCACCGAGUAGCUACUUACUGAUGUCCACUGCAGGUCACCUUUCUUCAGAAGUUUUUUGAUCUUUCUCAGAGCUUUGUUCCUUUUUCGCAACACUCUCAGUGGAAUAAAGCCAAGCUGUGAGGAAACAAGCAUAAAAGACUGAUUUGUAUCUUCUGGUGAAACUCACAGCCUCUAUGAGCUUGUUCCUGAAGAAAUCCAUGUUGGCAAAGAAGAUGGGUGAUGGGAUCCUGAAGAUUUUCACCCCCUCUGGCUCAUAUAUCUGCAGUCAUGACCACCAUGUACAGUUGAAUACAAUUAAAAACCCUAAAGGGACAGUUUGCAUGAACCCUUACUUCUAAACAGAAUGCAGCCAUUAUUCAUACACCUGUGUUUGUUUGUAAGUCAAGCUGUGAGACAUGUCUGUGGGGUCAGGAGAUCCUCUCGCUCUCCAUUCUGUUCCAUUAGCAUAUUUCCACUAAUAAUGCUAAAUCUGUCAUUGUAACAAAUAUUUUUGUAUCACUUUGCUCAUGCAAUCGUUUACUCUGCAGUAGCUAAAAAUACACUGUGAUGUAACAUGACAAUGCAUUGUGGGAUAUAGUCCUAGACAAAAAAGCAUGCAUUUUGCAUGGGGGCCAAUGGGUCGGAGUUGCUUCGUUCGCCUCCUAAAGAUGCUAAACAGGAAGGAACUAAGCAUUGCUAUUGAGGGUUGUGCAAACUGGACUACAGAUACCCAGAUUGGAUGUUUUUUUUUUAUCCCUUUUCCAAAGCCGAGUGGUGAACAACAACAGCUGAAAUGGGAACUGGCCAAGCUAAAAUUUGGUGGCAGCGGUGGCACUAUAAUCAUGUAAAAGUAAAAAGGUACUUCGAGUAACUGUUUGGGUAUAACAUUUUGAAUUUUGUUUCUGUUGAUUAGUUUUUAUUGACAUAAAAGCGCCCUGUGUGGUGACACGACCUGUAAAGCAGGCUAUUUUACACAUUGGAUAAAUUAUCUGUCUAGAAUUA